GACGAACGCUGGCGGCGUGCUUAACACAUGCAAGUCGAACGGAAAGGCCCUGCUUUUGUUGGGUGCUCGAGUGGCGAACGGGUGUGUAACACGUGAGUAUCCUGCCCUUGACUUUGGGAUAACUUCAGGAAACUGGGGCUAAUACCGGAUAUGAGCUCCUGCUGCAUGUUGUGGGUUGGAAAGUUUCGGCUGUUGUGGAUCGACUCGCGGCUUAUCAGCUCGUUGGUUGGUUAGUGGCUUACCAAGUCUCUGACGGGUAGCCGGCCUGAGAGGGUGACCGGCCACAAGGGGACUGAGAUACGGACCAGAAUCCUACGGGAGGCAGCAGGGGGGAAUAUGGCACAAUGAGCGGAAGCCUGAUGCAGAAACGCCGCGAGCGGGAUGACGGCCUUCGGGGUGUAAACAGCUUUCGACGGUGACGAAGAGUGAGUGACGGUAAUGGGUAAAGAAGCACCGGCUAACUACGUG
rnacentral:rRNA from 1 species